rnacentral:rRNA from 1 species
AACGAACGCUGGCGGCAUGCCUAACACAUGCCAGUCGAACGAGACCUUCGGGUCUAGUGGCGCACGGGUGCGUAACGCGUGGGAACCUGCCCUUAGGUUCGGAAUAACUCCCCGAAAGGGGUGCUAAUACCGGAUAAUGUCUUCGGACCAAAGAUUUAUCGCCUUUGGAUGGGCCCGCGUUGGAUUAGCUAGUUGGUAGGGUAAAAGCCUACCAAGGCGACGAUCCAUAGCUGGUCUGAGAGGAUGAUCAGCCACACUGGGACUGAGACACGGCCCAGACUCCUACGGGUGGCAGCAGUGGGGAAUAUUGGACAAUGGGCGAAAGCCUGAUCCAGCAAUGCCGCGUGAGUGAUGAAGGCCUUAGGGUUGUAAAGCUCUUUUACCCGGGAUGAUAAUGACAGUACCGGGAGAAUAAGCUCCGGCUAACUCCGUG